UACGGGGGGGGCAAGCGUUGUUCGGAAUUACUGGGCGUAAAGGGCUCGUAGGUGGCCAACUAAGUCAGACGUGAAAUCCCUCGGCUUAACCGGGGAACUGCGUCUGAUACUGGAUGGCUUGAAUUCGGGAGAGGGAUGCAGAAUUCCAGGUGUAGCGGUGAAAUGCGUAGAUAUCUGGAGGAAUACCGGUGGCGAAGGCGGCAUCCUGGACCGACAUUGACGCUGAUGAGCGAAAGCCAGGGGAGCAAACGGG
rnacentral:rRNA from 1 species